AUUGAAUCAAUUUGUUGUUUACGGUUUCGGCACUGCGUCGUUACUAUCUAGUAAGCCUGAGUUACAUAACCUCAAAUUUCGUUAUUUUUGGCCGUUGUCGCAAACCGCUAAAUGGUGACACGAGUGACCCUACUAGGUUACAGCGACCCUUGCGGCCAAUCUAAGAAUUAUUGAAAGCGGACCCAAGAAGUGAGUCACCCCCACCACCAGAGUUGCAAGACUUGUAUGUGAGACCGUGGCCAGAACCGAUCCUGCGGGCGAAUGCUGCGACCGGAUCGACUGACUACUUACCAACCUCCCACAUGUGUAUUUCAUCGCCAUGACAGACUUAAAUGAACUGUAACGAGCGCGAGUUGUUGCUGUUACGGGCUCUAGUCUAUUUGGCCAUCCUGGGGAGAUAUAUUAUGACGCUGGGGAUAUACUUUGUAGAAGUGCGAUUUGAAUUAUUAACUGCCAAAACGAUCGUGAA